AAUCAGGUUAUGACUGUCUUAGCUAGAACAUCUUCAGUCAUUUGUAAAUUGGUUGUUAGGGAUUAUCUGUAGCCCUGUCCAAUGACUCUUUGGUAUCAUUAUCUCCAGAAAAUACCUCCAAAAAACAGUUUUAGGAUGGCAAAUAAUAUUUUCAACCUAAACGGCAAUCCUUUGUAAAUCUCGAUCCCGCCCCUCUCCAUCGGACUUUGAUCUUCCAGAAGUUGAUGGUUCUGCUGUGGAUGACAUCUGCAAGAUUUUCUCUGCCACACCCGACCCCAUCACUACCACCACCAUCACCACAACAACCACAACCUCACCCAUCACCAGGAAGCAGGUUGUGGUCACAACCAAAAAGCCAGUCGUCCAAUCGCCACCAAGGAAGCCAGAAACCAAAAACACUGGAACACCAAUCAGGAAGCUGCCCGUCCCGGGAGGACCAAUCACAAACACCCUCAACAACCCUGCUGCCAACAUCCUGUACCAUCUCCUGGUCAAUAGCAGAAGACAUGCAGCUGGUUCUCUCCCAGGGUUGAACAGUUUUAUCUCUAAGCCAAUAGGAGGGCUGCCUCUUGGAGGGGACAGUUCGACGUCACACAGCGACGAGUUAGGGGCAACGCUGCUGAAGAGAGCAGGGAGGACGUAUGGGAACAGAUGGAAAAUAGGAUCGUUUUCUUCAGAGGAUUCAAGUGACGAAUCUUGAUGUUUUGAUGAUCUUGGUAUUUUUAAAUUCUGAUUUUAUCAUUGUACGGUAGUUGGAAAAGGUUUGAUAUAAGUUACAGUUUUGUGAAUGUUUCUUCAUGACAAUUUAGUAGCAUCCCUUGGUUACCAUUAAAGUUAGUUUAACAGCCAAAUAAGAUGAUAAAUGUUGUAUCUACCUGCAUCGCUGCUGUGACAUUAUGAGCUAAUGUAUGGACUUCCCUUUAAAACAUACAUUCAUGUACAUUCCUUUAGUAAUCUCAAAAAGAAGAAUAUUCAUAUAUGUUAGUUUAGAGCUGUUAAUUUAACUGCUGUCAUAAACCACAACUGACGCAAGCAAUCUUCCUUUUUUAAAGCCUUAUUUAUUCUUUACAAUACACAAGUAAAACAAUUGCAUUAAUGUUCUGAUUGUGUAAGAAUUAUUUGAAAAAGUAUUUACAUAUAAAUGACUUAUCUGCUGCUUUAAAAAGUUAAACAAAAACAAACCUGAAAAAUGUU